rnacentral:lncRNA from 1 species
CCAAGAUGGCCGAAUAGGAACAGCUCCGGUCUACAGCUCCCAGCGUGAGCGACGCAGAAGACGGGUGAUUUCUGCAUUUCCAUCUGAGGUACCGGGUUCAUCUCACUAGGGAGUGCCAGACAGUGGGCGCACGCAGGAUACUCAAACUUGAAACCAACCUACCUUAUCGUGAGGAAGCCUGGUUCAAAUGGAGAGGCCAAUGUAGGUGUACAACAGACAGUCCCAGCUGAAAGGCCCAGCUUGCACACAACAUCACUGCCAGACGAAUGAGAAGGGCCUUAUGAUGAUUCCAGCAUCAGACAUUUGACUUGGCCCAGCUUUUGCUGAACUGCAUCUUCCUGUAGAGAAGAGCCAGCAAUGACCUUCUGUUUGGUGUUGGUGCCCUCUCAGCAUUCUCCUGAUG